rnacentral:rRNA from 1 species
CGAAAGCAUCUGCCAAGGAGGUUUUCAUUGAUCAAGAGCGAAGGAAGGGGGAUCGAAAACGAUCGGAUACCGUUGUAGUCUCUUCGGUAAGCUAUGCCAAUUGGGGAUUAGCACAGGAUUUUCAAUGACUGUGUUAGCACCCGAAGAGAAAUCUUUAAAUGAGGUUCGGGGGGGAGUAUGGUCGCAAGGCUGAAACUUAAAGGAAUUGACGGAAGGGCACCACCAGGUGUGGAGCCUGCGGCUUAAUUUGACUCAACACGGGGAAACUCACCAGGUCCAGACACAAUAAGGAUUGACAGAUUGAUAGCUCUUUCUUGAUCUUGUGGUUGGUGGUGCAUGGCCGUUCUUAGUUGGUGGAGUGAUUUGUCUGGUUAAUUCCGAUAACGGAACGAGACCUUAACCUGCUAAAUAGACCAGUCGACUUUGGUUGACUGCUGUCUUCUUAGAGGGACUAUCAGCGUUUAGCUGAUGGAAGUUUGAGGCAAUAACAGGUCUGUGAUGCCCUUAGAUGUUCUGGGCCGCACGCGCGCUACACUGACAGAGCCAGCGAGUCUUUUUCCUUUGCCGGAAGGCAUGGGUAAUCUUGUGAAACUCUGUCGUGAUGGGGAUAGAACAUUGCAAUUAUUGUUCUUCAACGAGGAAUACCUAGUAAGCGUGAUUCAUCAGAUCGCGUUGAUUACGUCCCUGCCCUUUGUACACACCGCCCGUCGCUACUACCGAUGGAAUGGCUUAGUGAGGCCUCCGGAUUGGCUAUUGGAAUCCCGCGAGAGAGUCUAACUGCCGAGAAGGUGUACGAACUUGGUCAUUAGAGGAAGAAAAGUCGAACAA